ensembl:snRNA Gm25798 predicted gene, 25798
GUGCUUGCUUCGGGAGCACAUAUACUAAAAUUAGAAUGAUACAGAGAAGAUUAGCAUGGCCCCUGUGCAAGGAUGACACCCAAAUUCGUGAAGCAUUCCAUAUUUUU